CUGGAAGAUGAGGGAAUGUGGAGCUGUGCUCUCUGCCCUAAUCGUAGUAGCUCUGGUGAGUCACCAGAUGUCUGGCCCACAAGAAGUUCCAGCAAAGCACGUCCUCAUAGCUCUGGGCCCGAGAGACACCAGUGCCUAAAGGGCUGUCACACUUCCCAGCCCAUCUGGCGGAGGCUGCCGCGGGUUUGAAAACUUACCUGAUGAGCAGAGGCCUUUCAAUUCCAAAGACUUUCACAACUUUCCUGGCGUUUUCCUUGGCUCUUAACAUCUGUGCCUCUAGACUGUAAAUCCUCUAGGGCGGGGAUUUUGUUCUUUGGCACAUUUUAGCUAUUGUAAAGCAUAAUGUACAGCAUACGUUAAAAACAGUAUAACAGCAAGGCAAUUUUGUCCUUCAAAUGCGGCUUCAGGUCUUGAUCUUUUUCCCAGAUACGCAGACAUGUGUAGCCAUGUAUCGUAAAAUCGGCUACUGAACUUUCUGUGAGAAGUGGUUUCCAUGAGAUCCAUUUGUGGUGUUAUUGCAAACUUGGGAAGGCAUCAGAUGUUAGAACAAUUCAGCAGUUGUAUACAUACAAUGGUUUUUUUGAGCUUUAGCUCAUAAACCGUCACCUACUUUAAAAUAAUUUUGGGAUUAAAACAAUGUAAUAAUAAAUUCAUACUGGCCAGAAUAGGAUAAUUUAAGCAGGGAUACCCUCAUAGCAAUUUUUUUUUCUGGGUCAUAAAGCUAAUACAAUAUUCUCACCACCUGCUAAUGUUCCUCAUAUUUUAUUAUAAAUUAUUUCUCACCGACAUUCUACUUUCAUUUAAGGCUA
rnacentral:lncRNA from 1 species